GGCUCGUGUUCUACUGGGUGAGCACUUGUCAGGUUCGUUUCUGGUGUGUUUGUAUUGCGAAUGUUCGCGGUCUUUUGGAAGCAGUCGCAUCGGAGAGAGAGAGAGAGUUUGUUCCUCGCCGCUGAUUCCCUGAGGCUGGAGCGCUUUGGGCGAGCACACCCCGUGGUUGUUCCGGACGCACGGGCGUUCUCACCAUAGUGCCUUGGAGCCGCUGGCAUCCUGACUGCGCGCUGCUGAUUCGCUUCAUCCGUACCUGAGCAGGGAGUCAGAACUGCUACUUUGCAUUCAGGAUUUUUUGCCCAGAUGUACGGAUUCUACGUCGUAGCAAGGCACGUGUCAGCGGGUUGGCUGGUCAUGCAGCACACCGGUCCCUUGGGUGCGGUUCGGAGACCAGCGGGACGGUCUCUAUUCAGCCCUUAUGCUGAGGCAUGUGAGGAAACGGCAAAGGCGUUCGGUCUCUACCACAAUACUGCAAGGAAUGUCACUCGAACGAACCAUGACCCCGCAGGCAAGUCUCGCCCACAUUUCCAGAAACAUAGCGACUCUCGAACUGAGCGAAGACUGCUUCCCCGUACAUGGGUCGAAGUCGUGCGCUGAGCGACCUCCGGAUACAAUCACUGAUCCCUUAGAAUCAGAGAGGAAGGCAAUCGACCGCAGAUCGCUCGCUCUCAACAGACACGGGCAGCAUCUCGACGUAGAUGCAGGGAGAGCUCGAGGAAUAACGCGGCAAGCACACCAUGAACAUAGACGCCAGAUACUCCAGCAGUGACGCACUAGCAAUCGCUUGCCUGUCCUUGUCCGGUAAACCGCAGACAAGUUCGGAUGCCGGUUGCAUCGCUGGCAUGGCGUCGGGGCGGCGGUGCGCGUUCCCCAGGGUGCUUGCCAGCGUGCGCUCGUCUGUCUGCAGCGGAGCGACCAGAACACUGCAGCUCCUGUUUCAAGCGCGAAGCGUGCACCUGACGCGCUGGACCGAUCCCGAAUGGAGCGAUGUGUCUUCUCCAGGGAGGUUCCCGUACAGGAUCGAUCACCAAUCGCAUCGCUCACGCAUGUUAUCGGGGACGCAAUGCCCACAUCCUAUUCUGCGCAUUGGAAACAAGAGCUUCCGGCUGAUAACUCUAUUUGUUUACGUCGGCGAUUAGCAUCUGUGAACCGGAUUGCAUUCACGGUACCACGAAAGACCGGCUGUCGAAUGCAGUACCAGCGGCAUUUGGCGCAAGUCGCAUAUCAGAAGCGACGCUUCGGCAAGUUCGCAUCGACUCGCACGGCCCCGUGGCUAGCGUCAUCUCGCAUUCAAGGCAGCGCUCACUGGCACUCAAUGACCGGUAAAGGCAGCGUCCCGGGUUUCUGGGUUAGGCAACAGGGCACUCUCCGCGUAUUCGAACUGCUUCCUGAGACAUACGCGAGCGCCUCAGACACCAUGACUUUUAAGGAAGGACAAGGUACGAUUCCCUGAAGCUGGAUAUAGGUCCUGCAACCAUAGGAAUCAAGUUUUCCUGCAAACAUCCUCGUGUCCAAAAAUACUCGCGUUCACGUUUAGACAGGAAUCUCGCGCUCGUCGAGGUGCUCCUGAACACGAUACCUCCCCGUGUAUCAUCAUCAUCAUCAUCAUCAAAAUCGGAUAAGUUUCUUCUAUUCGGUGUCCAGCGCAGCGUACUGACCACUCCAAACCGGCAGGCUCAGCGCACGGCCAGCUCUUCGGAGGCAAGUCGGUUCACUCGUCGAUGCGGCUUGUCCAAACAAGCAAGCUUAGAACCGGAGUUUAGUGAAAAACCAUCGAUACUUUCCCGUCAGGUAUUUCUGUUCUAGGAUCUUCUUCACCGCGAUGCGACAGCUCCGUCGACUCUCCAGGGUGGUCCAGGGGUCGUCCGCCGUGCCCAGUCCGAGCGUUUCCGGUAGCACCUGACGGAGCUCGUCGUAAAAGUCCACAUUA